CGCGUAGGUGGCGGCCCAAGUCCGUGGUGAAAGCUCGAUGCUCAACAUCGAGUCGGCCACGGAUACUGGGCGGCUGGAGCACUGUAGAGGCAGAUGGAAUUCCGGGUGUAGCGGUGGAAUGCGUAGAGAUCCGGAAGAACACCGGUGGCGAAGGCGGUCUGCUGGGCAGUUGCUGACACUGAUGCGCGACAGCGUGGGGAGCAACA
rnacentral:rRNA from 1 species